CCUACGGGGGGCAGCAGUGAGGAAUAUUGGUCAAUGGACGAGAGUCUGAACCAGCCAAGUAGCGUGAAGGAUGACUGCCCUAUGGGUUGUAAACUUCUUUUGUCUGGGAAUAAAAUGUUCCACGUGUGGGAUUUUGUAUGUACCAUAUGAAUAAGGAUCGGCUAACUCCGUGCCAGCAGCCGCGGUAAUACGGAGGAUCCGAGCGUUAUCCGGAUUUAUUGGGUUUAAAGGGAGCGUAGGUGGAUUGUUAAGUCAGUUGUGAAAGUUUGCGGCUCAACCGUAAAAUUGCAGUUGAAACUGGCAGUCUUGAGUACAGUAGAAGUGCGCGGAAUUCGUGGUGUAGCGGUGAAAUGCAUAGAUAUCACGCAGAACUCCGAUUGCGAAGGCAGCUCACUGGACUGCAACUGACGCUGAGGCUCGAAAGUGUGGGUAUCGAACAGGAUUAGAUACCCUAGUAGUC
rnacentral:rRNA from 1 species